rnacentral:rRNA from 1 species
UGGGGAAUUUUGCACAAUGGGGGAAACCCUGAUGCAGCGACGCCGCGUGAUUUAGAAGGCCUUCGGGUUGUAAAAAUCUUUUCUAUGGGAAGAAAAUGACAGUACCAUAGGAAUAAGGACCGGCUAAUUACGUGCCAGCAGCCGCGGUAAUACGUAAGGUCCGAGCGUUGUCCGGAAUCAUUGGGCGUAAAGGGUACGUAGGCGGGUAAGCAAGUUAGAAGUGAAAUCCUAUAGCUCAACUAUAGUAAGCUUUUAAAACUGCUCAUCUUGAGGUAUGGAAGGGAAAGUGGAAUUCCUAGUGUAGCGGUGAAAUGCGCAGAUAUUAGGAGGAAUACCGGUGGCGAAGGCGACUUGCUGGCCAUAACCUGACGCUGAGGUACGAAAGCGUGGGUAGCAAACAGG